rnacentral:tRNA from 1 species
GCCUGGGUGGCUCAGUUGGUUAAGCGUCUGUCUUUGGCUCAGGUCAUGAUCUGAUGGCUUGUGAGUUCGAGCCCCACAUCAGGCU